rnacentral:siRNA from 1 species
CUUAUGAGGGGCAGCUAGCUGUA